UCGGGAAUUUUGGGCAAUGGGCGAAAGCCUGACCCAGCAACGCCGCGUGAAGGAUGAAGUAUUUCGGUAUGUAAACUUCGAAAGAAUAGGAAGAAUAAAUGACGGUACUAUUUAUAAGGUCCGGCUAACUACGUGCCAGCAGCCGCGGUAAUACGUAGGGACCAAGCGUUGUUCGGAUUUACUGGGCGUAAAGGGCGCGUAGGUGGUUUUAUAAGUUAGGUGUGAAAGUCCUGGGCUUAACCUGGGGACUGCGCCUAAUACUGUAGAGCUAGAGUACUGUAGAGGGAGGUGGAAUUUCCAGUGUAGCAGUGAAAUGCGUAGAUAUUGGAAGGAACAUCAGUGGCGAAGGCGACUUCCUGGACAGAUACUGACACUGAGGCACGAAAGCGUGGGGAGCAAACAGGAUUAGAUACCCUUGUAGUCCCUGAGCGGGCUGGCAAGGCGCAU
rnacentral:rRNA from 1 species